UACGUAGGGUGCGAGCGUUAAUCGGAAUUACUGGGCGUAAAGUGUGCGCAGGCGGUUUCGCAAGUCAAGUGUGAAAGCCCCGGGCUUAACCUGGGAACUGCGCUUGAAACUACGGAACUCGAGUAUGGCAGAGGAAGGUGGAAUUCCACGUGUAGCGGUGAAAUGCGUAGAGAUGUGGAGGAACGCCGAUGGCGAAGGCAGCCUUCUGGGCCAAUACUGACGCUCAUGCACGAAAGCGUGGGGAGCAAACAGG
rnacentral:rRNA from 1 species